rnacentral:rRNA from 1 species
UUAGAGGAAGUAAAAGUCGUAACAAGGUCUCCGUUGGUGAACCAGCGGAGGGAUCAUUACAGAGUUGCAAAACUCCCAAACCAUUGUGAACGAUACCCGUACCGUUGCUUCGGCGGGYCGGCUCCCGGAGCCGCAGCCCCCCCUCGGGGGGCGGCCCGCCGGACGACAUCAAAACUCUUGUCUCACACAGGCCUCUUUGAGAACUUAUACAAAUGAGUCAAAACUUUCAACAACGGAUCUCUUGGUUCUGGCAUCGAUGAAGAACGCAGCGAAAUGCGAUAAGUAAUGUGAAUUGCAGAAUUCAGUGAAUCAUCGAAUCUUUGAACGCACAUUGCGCCCGCUAGCAUUCUGGCGGGCAUGCCUGUCCGAGCGUCAUUUCAACCAUCAAGCCCCCGGGCUUGCGUUGGGGCACCGCGGCCGCCGCGGUCCCUGAAAACCAGUGGCGGGCUCGCUGUCACUCCGGGCGCAGUACUAUAUCUCGCUCUGGUUGUGCGGCGGGUGCCGGCCGUUAAACACACCCCUUCAUACCAAGGUUGACCUCGGAUCAGGUAGGAAUACCCGCUGAACUUAAGCAUAUCA